UACGUAGGCAGCAAGCGUUGUUCGGAGUUACUGGGCGCAAAGGGUGUGAAGGCGGUUUCUUAAGUUUGGUGUGAAAUCUCCCAGCUCAACCGGGAGGGUGCGCCGAAUACUGAGGAACUCGAGUGCGGGAGAGGAAAGUGGAAUUCCUGGUGCAGCGGUGAAAUGCGUAGAUAUCAGGAGGAACACCGGUGGUGUAGACGGCUUUCUGGACCGUAACUGACGCUGAGACACGAAAGCGUGGGUAG
rnacentral:rRNA from 1 species